rnacentral:rRNA from 1 species
GAGUUUGAUCCUGGCUCAGGAUGAACGCUGGCGGCGUGCUUAACACAUGCAAGUCGAACGGGCGAAUUAUAUCGGAGGUCUUCGGGCCAAAGAGAUAAUAAGCUAGUGGCGGACGGGUGCGUAACGUGUGGGUAAUCUGCCUUUGUCAUAGGAAUAACUGCUUGAAAAAGUAGCUAAUACCAAAUAACAUAUCGUAUAGGCAUCUAUAAGAUAUCAAAGAGAAAUCGGACAAAGAUGAGCCCGCAUCUGAUUAGCUGGUUGGUAGGGUAAAAGCCUACCAAGGCGACGAUCAGUAGCCGGCCUGAGAGGGUGAACGGCCACAUUGGAACUGAGACACGGUCCAAACUCCUACGGGAGGCAGCAGUGGGGAAUAUUGCACAAUGGGGGGAACCCUGAUGCAGCAACGCCGCGUGAGUGAAGAAGGCUUUCGAGUCGUAAAACUCUGUUGUAAGGGAAGAUAAUGACGGUACCUAA